UUCGUACAUGCUUUUUUCAAA
rnacentral:piRNA from 1 species